AUCCAGCUGACGAGUCCCAAAUAGGACGGAACGCGCGUCAAACUGGAU
rfam:Schistosoma mansoni strain Puerto Rico chromosome 1, complete genome